rnacentral:rRNA from 1 species
AUGAUCGCCGGGCGCACCCCUCUCGACGAGCCGUCGCGCUGGGAGCAUGAUGCCAUCUGCACUUCUAUGCCCGCCUGGCGCCGCGCGGUCUCGUCGCCCACCCCGGCGUCAUCUACCGCUCCGGUGGGGAUCCUCCGUGCCCCUUCUGCUCCAGGGGCUCCGGCACGGCAAGGCCCGCACAAAGCUGUGUGGUUCAACCUGCCUCCAUGGACGCCCGACAGCUCCGAGGAGGCCCACCUCCUCUCGCGCCGCCAAGAUGCUUCGUUUCCUCCACGCUUUUUAGCAUGCAUGGACCCGACCGCCGCUGCCUCGGAAGAUGGAUGGACUACAGCUAUGUCCCGCCGCACGCGACGUGAGGCCCAAAGGGUCGCUGCUCCACUCAGAGGGAGCCGCCGUCGUCUCUUCUCCUCUGCCCGAGGUGCCGGCCCUCCAUCUCCUUCGUCUACAAACGCUGGGGCUAAGGUUUGCUUCCAGUGGAGCUCUUCUAGCCACCUGGUUGCCUCUUGCUCCCGCCCACGAAGCCGUCGCUCCCAGCAGCACCCUCCUCCAGCUAGCAGGACGCGGCAGCCAUGCGCGUCCUCUCCACCUUCAGCGACCAUGUCCUUCCUCGGCCACCCUUCCACGCGCGAGGAGGAGGACACUUGCUACAUCGCAACUUCAUACGAUCUCGAUCGUGAGCGCCUGGACUGGGAGAGCACCGCCAUCGUGGCGUGGGUUAUCGCUGCACCGUCGUGGACGGACCACACCGAUGUCAACGACGUCUUCCGCCGCAAGUUCUGCCUAUGGGCGUCGGAGCUGAUGGUGAGCUCUCACUUCCCAGAGCAGUACCUCGUGAAGUUCUCCUCCGCCGAGCUACCCGAUGAGGUCAUGCGUACGGAGUGUUGCAACUUCAAGCUCGACGGCCUCGACAUCCACUUCCGGCCGUGGCGCGCCGUCUCUCACGCCUACAACGCCGACCUCCACUUCUGCAUCCAUGUGGUCGUUGACGGCCUCCCUCCUUUCUCUUGGAGGCCGGAAGUGGGUGCGGAUGGCCUCUCCUCCAAGGUCCGCAUCGAGGAGGAUCACCCUGAUCAAUGGAAGAGAGGCGUCUCGUUCCGCGUCCUACUCCAUGUCGACCGCGUGGAGGAUUUCACUGAAGCCCCGGUCUUGGACGGCGGUGAGCCGCUCAACAACUUGAGGCCCGUUUCGCACUCCCUGCCGCAAUGCAACCUGGGCACCAUUGAUGGCCGGCCCGUUGGAGUCCCUCUGCUGGAUGCGAUGAAGGCUUGCAUCGACAAGUUCAGCACCCCGCUUCCGGACAAGGCGAUUGAAGCUCUAGCCAAGCUCUUCAAGCUCAACAUCUGCAGCAUGACCGAAGCGGAUGAGUCCCUCAUUGACAUGGGAGGCUUUCCUCAAAGAUGGCGGGCCCUCCUGACGACUCUCUUCACCACGGCCUCCUCUAGGGUUUUCCUCAAUGGAAUCACUGGGAGGGACAUCAUGCAUGGACGGGGUUUUCGUCAGGGCGAUCCCCUCUCGCCCCACCUGUUCGACAUCGCCAUCGACCCACUUCAGAGACUUCUGGAAAAGGCUACGGAAUCCGGCUUGCUGUCUGCUAUGCCUGGAGGUAUUCAGGGCCCCAGGGUCUCCCUAUAUGCGGACGAUGCUGCCAUUUUUCUAUCCCCCAUGACACAUGAUGUGGAGGGCCUUGCUAGCAUUCUACAGAGUUUUGGGGUAGUCUCUGGCCUCGUGACAAAUGUUACCAAGAGCUCCAUCGCCCCCAUCCAAUGCGCCAACAUUAACUUGGAGGAGAUUCUGGCAAACUUCCCGGCGACUACGACCCCCUUCCCCAUUAAGUAUUUGGGGUUGCCCCUCUCCCUCGGAAGACUUAGGCGUGUGGACCUUCAAGCCUACAUCGACAAAGCGGUGGCUCAUCUUAGCCCGUGGAAAGGAAAGUUCCUGAACCGUGCCGGGUGCACUGCUCUGGUUAAGUCUGUGCUCUCCUCCAUGCCAAUCUUCUUGCUGACGGCUUUAAAGGCUGACAAAGGCAUCCUCAAGGCCUUUGCGAACCCCAAGGAGCUCGGUGGUUUGGGGGUUUUGGACCUGGAGAGGUUCUCCCGGGCCUUGAGGCUUCGCUGGUUAUGGUAUGAGUGGAAGGCUCCUGAGAAGCAAUGGGCCUCCUUCUGGUCGUCUUCAUGGCUCAAUGGUGCCCUGCCAAAAGACCUGGCUCCUCUAAUUUUCAAGGCUUCCAAGAGGAAGAAUCAGACGGUCCAGGAUGCUCUCGCUGAUAACAACUGGAUCUCGGACAUUGCGGUGGAUGCAUUCACUGCCGAUCACAUGGAACAAUACGUUCGCCUCUGGGAGCUCUUGUCGGAUAUCCAGCUUCAUCCUGACACUGAGGACUCCAUUACCUGGUCCUUGACCCCUAAUGGGUGCUACUCGGCCAGCUCCGCCUACAAGGUCCAGUUCCUUGCCUCUUUGCCCUGCCAGUUCGGGAACAUCGUGUGGAAGACCUGGGCCCCUCAAAAGUGCCGUUUCUUCGCCUGGCUCGCUGUCCAGAACCGCUUAUGGACCGCUGAUCGCUUGGCGAAACGCGGAUGGCCGCACCAACCUACUUGCCAGCUCUGCCGUACAUCCCCUGAGACGGCACGACACAUUCUUUUCGAGUGCCAUUUCUCCAGAUGUAUCUGGACGGUCGCGGCCUCUUGGCUGUCUUGUCCAGACCUCAUCAGCAGCAUCGGUGAGGGUAGGCCUAAAUUCGUGGAUUAUUGGCUGGCCGUUUCAAAGUCCACCACCUCCUCCCCAAUAGGCUUGCGCUCAGCUAUCACGUCAUCACUUGGGAGAUCUGGAAAGAGAGGAACGAAUGAGUUUUCAACAAUAAGUCCUCCCUGCUAUCGGUUGUCAUGCAUAAGAUUAGGGAAGAGGGGAAGGACUGGAUCCUCGUCGGUGCUAAAAAUCUGGCGGAACUUGUAG